rnacentral:rRNA from 1 species
CCUACGGGGUGCAGCAGUGGGGGAUAUUGCACAAUGGGCGAAAGCCUGAUGCAGCAACGCCGCGUGAGGGAAGACGGUCUUCGGAUUGUAAACCUCUGUCUUUGGGGAAGAAAAUGACGGUACCCAAAGAGAAAUCUCCGGCUAACUACGUCCCAGCAGCCGCGGUAAUACGUAGUGAGCAAGCGUUGGCCGGAAUUACUGGGUGUAAAGGGAGCGUAGGCGGGAUGGCAUGUAGAAUGUGAAACCCAUCGGCUAAACCGGUGGCUGCGUUCUAAACUGCCGUUCUUGAGUGUAGUAGAGGCAGGCGGAAUUCCUAGUGUAGCGGUGAAAUGCGUAGAUAUUAGGAGGAACACCAGUGGCGAAGGCGGCCUGCUGGGCUUUAACUGACGCUGAGGCUCGAAAGCGUGGGGAGCAAACAGGAUUAGAUACCCUAGUAGUC